GAUGAGCGCUGGCGGCGUGCCUAAUACAUGCAAGUCGAGCGAACAGACGAGGAGCUUGCUCCUCUGACGUUAGCGGCGGACGGGUGAGUAACACGUGGAUAACCUACCUAUAUGACUGGGAUAACUUCGGGAAACCGGAGCUAAUACCGGAUAAUAUAUUGAGCCGCAUGGUUCAAUAGUGAAAGACGGUUUUGCUGUCACUUAUAGAUGGAUCCGCGCCGCAUUAGCUAGUUGGUAAGGUAACGGCUUACCAAGGCAACGAUGCGUAGCCGACCUGAGAGGGUGAUCGGCCACACUGGAACUGAGACACGGUCCAGACUCCUACGGGAGGCAGCAGUAGGGAAUCUUCCGCAAUGGGCGAAAGCCUGACGGAGCAACGCCGCGUGAGUGAUGAAGGUCUUCGGAUCGUAAAACUCUGUUAUUAGGGAAGAACAAAUGUGUAAGUAACUAUGCACGUCUUGACGGUACCUAAUCAGAAAGCCACGGCUAACUACGUG
rnacentral:rRNA from 1 species